rnacentral:lncRNA from 10 species
GGGGAGAAGCAGGCAGGAGAACCGAGUCUUGGCCUUAACUGGCUGGCAACGUAAAACCUGCCCUCCACAAGGACAAGAUGAAAACUUGGGGAUUUGGAGGGGACAACAAAUUAGACUCAAUCACAAUUUCAAACUUUUGGAUGUCAAUAUAUCCAUCAAGAAAUUGAAAAGAGGCCUGGCAUGGUGGCCGAUGCCUGUCAUCCCAGCACUUUGGGAGACCAACGUCGGAGGAUCACUUGAGGUCAGGAGUUCCAGACCAGCCUGGGCAACACUCCCAGGCUGGAAUGGUGUCCUCAUAUCGAGGAAGAGGAUACUGAGGCCCAGAAAUGUGCCCUAGCUUUACUAGGAGCGCCCCCACCUAAAGAUCCUCCCCCUAAAUACACCCCCAGACCCCGCCCAGCUGUGGUCAUUGGAGUGUUUACUCUGCAGGCAGGGGGAGGAGGGCGGGACUGAGCAGGCGGAGACGGACAAAGUCCGGGGACUAUAAAGGCCGGUCCGGCAGCAUCUGGUCAGUCCCAGCUCAGAGCCGCAACCUGCACAGCCAUGCCCGGGCAAGAACUCA